AUGUCACACCCAGAGUGGGGACCAGUAGGAGCAAGCCAAAAGGCCCCAGCUCUGCAUAGGCAGGGUGCUAUGGGGUUACCCAGCAUCUUUACGUUUAUUAAGGCAUCCCAGGAGGAAGUUCAUCUGCUUUGGUUGCAGGGUUGGGCUGCCUUCCCCACCCAAUGCGUGGCCACCUGGGGGGGCUGGGGAGGGACGGAGCCCCAUGUGACCCUGGGGAACCUCGGAAGGGAUGCUUGGGUAGGAAUAAUGCUAGCAGAGGGUAGUUCUGUAGGCGACUUGUUAACCCUAUUUAUUUCCCUGCUUCCAGCCUUCAGGACACAGCUGGUACGGUCUGCAACAAACCAGCCAGCCACUCGAGCAGGCGCUCAGGUUUUCUUUAGGGGUGAACUUACUCCAAGAGCAGGCGAGCUGCCAGCAGCCGGGCUCUGCCCGAGCUCGCAGCAUCUCCUGCCUGUGCGGCUGAGCGGCGCUGCGAGAUGCAGACCUGCAAGCGGAGAGUGCCGCUCAGCGCUGUGGGGCUGCAGCACAGGGCAGCAGGAGCUCCCUCAGCACGGAGCAGCCCCCUCCUGCAUCCCCCACCCCCAGCCUGAGCGAAGAGGAGCUGAGCCUCCUCCUGUCUUGAGGCGAUUUAGAUUCCACAGGUGCUCUGUUGCCUUUCCUACUGAUGUAACGUUCAUAGCAGUCGCGUUGUACCCAGCGAGGCGAUUUGUGCCUGGGGUGUACAGCGUGUGUCGCUUGGUGAGGUUUUCCCACCCAGGAGCCUGGGGCCAGUGGGUGGCAACCGUGCUGAAGCGGUGGGUGCCUGUGCCACCCCUCUGUCCUCAGCUCUUCCCGGGCUGCCCCAGGGGUCCUGCAACACCUCUGCACCCCACCUGCUGCUGGCACACCCGCUCCUGCCCUGGGAAGGUGGAUCAGGAUUGCAGCCCCCAGCUUUCCUUCCCAAAUCAGCCACUAGUCUCACUCCCCAGCCGCCACCUGCCAGAUCUAUCCCCUCCCCUGCAAAUUCCUCGAGUCGUGCGAUGCCUCCUGGGAGCCAGCAGCACCUUCCAGGUAGAGCUGAUUGCUUCCCCAGAUGCCUCCCAUUUUCUCCUCAUGUGA
rnacentral:lncRNA from 1 species